rnacentral:rRNA from 1 species
CCUACGGGUGGCAGCAGUGGGGAAUCUUCCACAAUGGAGGGAACUCUGAUGCAGCGACGCCGCGUGAGUGAAGAAGUAAUUCGUUACGUAAAGCUCUAUCAGCAGGGAAGAAAGUGACGGUACCUGAAAAAGAAGCUCCGGCUAAAUACGUGCCAGCAGCCGCGGUAAUACGUAUGGCGCAAGCGUUAUCCGGAAUUACUGGGUGUAACGGGAGAGUAGGUGGCAGAGCAAGUCCGAAGUGAAAGCCCAAAGCUCAACUAUGGGAAUGCUUUAGAAACUGCUCAGCUAGAGUGCAGGAGAGGCAAGUGGAAUGCUUAGUGUAGCGGUGAAAUGCGUAGAGAUUUGGAGGAACACCAGGGGCGAAGGCGACUUGCUGGACUGUAACUGACACUGAGGCGCGAAAGCGUGGGGAGCAAACAGGAUUAGAUACCCUUGUAGUC